AGAACGAACGCUGGCGGCAUGCCUAAUACAUGCAAGUCGAACGAACACUUCGGUGUUAGUGGCGCACGGGUGCGUAACGCGUGGGAAUCUGCCCUUGGGUUCGGAAUAACAGUUGGAAACGACUGCUAAUACCGGAUGAUAUCGAAAGAUCAAAGAUUUAUCGCCCAGGGAUGAGCCCGCGGUAGGAUUAGCUAGUUGGUGAGGUAAAGGCUCACCAAGGCGACGAUCCUUAGCUGGUCUGAGAGGAU
rnacentral:rRNA from 1 species